GGGAAAUGAGGAUCCACAGCACUGGGCACUGAUUUAAAACAACUACAUGAGUGACACUGCUUUUUAAGAAUAGGCCUCAGAAACCUGUUCGUGACUGAUCCC
rnacentral:snoRNA from 1 species